rnacentral:sRNA from 1 species
UUAUGCUUGAGAUGCAAGGCCUCUAGGAAGAGCAAGAAACUGGAGGUUUUAUUUUUUUAACUUAAAGCGUAUUUAAUAGCUUUAAAAGCCACUGAGGCACAUUGAAAUAAAGAUAUACAAAAUAUUAAGGACGACCCACAGUACAAACAAAAUAACUACUCUUCUUUAAACAAAGACAUGUGAGAACAUUCAGGGUUCAGACUGCCUUUUGGAGACGCCAUCUGAUUCUCUACUGAGGACAAGAGUGGGGAACAAUUGUGAAAUCAGGCCUGGUUAAAUUCAGCUUUUCCAGAAGAGCUGACUCCACGACUCUUGU